AGGGGGAUAACAGUUAGAAAUGACUGCUAAUACCGCAUAAGCGCACAGUCUCGCAUGGGACAGUGUGAAAAACUGAGGUGGUGUGAGAUGGAUCCGCGUCUGAUUAGGCAGUUGGCGGGGUAACGGCCCACCAAACCAACGAUCAGUAGCCGGCCUGAGAGGGUGAACGGCCACAUUGGGACUGAGACACGGCCCAAACUCCUACGGGAGGCAGCAGUGGGGAAUAUUGCACAAUGGGGGAAACCCUGAUGCAGCGACGCCGCGUGAAGGAAGAAGUAUUUCGGUAUGUAAACUUCUAUCAGCAGGGAAGAAAGUGACGGUACCUGACUAAGAAGCCCCGGCUAACUACGUGCCAGCAGCCGCGGUAAUACGUAGGGGGCAAGCGUUAUCCGGAUUUACUGGGUGUAAAGGGAGCGUAGGCGGCGAUGCAAGUCAGAAGUGAAAGCCCGGGGCUCAACUCCGGGACUGCUUUUGAAACUGUAUGGCUAGAUUGCAGGAGAGGCAAGUGGAAUUCCUAGUGUAGCGGUGAAAUGCGUAGAUAUUAGGAGGAACACCAGUGGCGAAGGCGGCUUGCUGGACUGUAAAUGACGCUGAGGCUCGAAAGCGUGGGGAGCAAACAGGAUUAGAUACCCUGGUAGUCCACGCCGUAAACGAUGAUCACUAGGUGU
rnacentral:rRNA from 1 species